rnacentral:rRNA from 1 species
UACGGAGGGUGCAAGCGUUACUCGGAAUCACUGGGCGUAAAGGAUGCGUAGGCGGUUUAUUAAGUCUUGUGUGAAAUCCUACAGCUUAACUGUAGAACUGCAUGGGAAACUGGUAAACUAGAGUAUAAGAGAGGCAGGUGGAAUUUCUAGUGUAGGGGUAAAAUCCGUAGAGAUUAGAAGGAAUACCGAUGGCGAAGGCGACCUGCUGGAUUAUAACUGACGCUGAGGCAUGAAAGCGUGGGGAGCAAACAGG